ensembl:snoRNA small nucleolar RNA SNORA11
UGGGUGUGCUCAGAGCUGGGGCCUGAAGAAUGGCUCUUCGGUUUAAAACACUCCCAAUAGGAACCUGAGGUCACUGUGAAGAGGGCAUAAAAUGUGUGUCCUACUAUCAACAGACACCUUACAGAC